rnacentral:rRNA from 1 species
UGCUUCUAUGACGUUAGCGGCGGACGGGUGAGUAACACGUGGGCAACCUGCCUGUAAGACUGGGAUAACUCCGGGAAACCGGAGCUAAUACCGGAUAACAUUUUCUCUUGCAUAAGAGAAAAUUGAAAGAUGGUUUCGGCUAUCACUUACAGAUGGGCCCGCGGUGCAUUAGCUAGUUGGUGAGGUAACGGCUCACCAAGGCAACGAUGCAUAGCCGACCUGAGAGGGUGAUCGGCCACACUGGGACUGAGACACGGCCCAGACUCCUACGGGAGGCAGCAGUAGGGAAUCUUCCGCAAUGGACGAAAGUCUGACGGAGCAACGCCGCGUGAGUGAUGAAGGCUUUCGGGUCGUAAAACUCUGUUGUUAGGGAAGAACAAGUACAAGAGUAACUGCUUGUACCUUGACGGUACCUAACCAGAAAGCCACGGCUAACUACGUGCCAGCAGCCGCGGUAAUACGUAGGUGGCAAGCGUUAUCCGGAAUUAUUGGGCGUAAAGCGCGCGCAGGCGGUUUCUUAAGUCUGAUGUGAAAGCCCACGGCUCAACCGUGGAGGGUCAUUGGAAACUGGGGAACUUGAGUGCAGAAGAGAAAAGCGGAA